CAAGGGUUCAUUCUGAGCUCUUAAUGAUGGAUGUGAAUGAGAUUGACUUCCGAAUUAUGAUAAGGAAUCGGCGAGAGAGGGAUCUCAAAAGAAGAGGAAACCAUGGACAUCAGAAGAGCACAGGAAAUUUCUUGAGGGGGUGAAGGAGUUCGGAAAAGGCGAGUGGAAGAUCAUUUCGAGGAACUGGGUGAUCACAAGGACACCGGAACAGGUUAAAGACCACAUCCGAUAUUACUUCGGGAAAAACGACAGGGAAAGAGAGAUAUACAACAACAAAACCAAAUUUAACGACGGAUUGGGGUAGCAGCAACCCAGGAGGAAGCGGCGGGGGGAAAGAAUGAUGGUAUUCUUGCGGUGUCUCGUGAGUUGGUGUGAUGUGAAUUUUUUCUUCGAGUUCUUUUUGGUUUCUUGACGAGAGUAACGUUUGUACAAACUGAUUGAUUUGUUCUUUCUUUUUUAAUAGUAUCAUUGAUUGGUGAUCUUGAAUCUUGCUCGAUGAAGAAGGGCCUUAUAGUUUUACAUCGACUGGGUCGGCCCAUCAUUUAAAUGGGCCUAAACCCAAAGUUUUGUGUGUAUUUUGUAAUAUAUAAUAUGUAGAAUUGUUGUAUAGCUUGUUUAGUUGUUCUUACCGGCGUGCGGCAGCGAGAAACGCCGGUGUGUGAGCGAAGAUUCAACUGGGAAGAGGGAAAGAUGUUAUUCAAGUGUUCAUCAUUAUCAAUUCAGCAUCUGGAUUCAGAGAAAAACAAGAAAGCCACGUGCAAAGGUGAAGGGCACAGCAAGACAAUGUGCAAUCCACCCUAAAAUAUCAGACAAACCCCCAAGAAGAAGAAAGGGUUAAAACUUUCAACUCUGAGGCAAAUGGACUGAUUGUCAAUUCUUGGCUGGAGCCAAAUGGAUUUGAAUAGGGAUGUUUUUCGAAAAUAAUAAUCAGAAAUCAUGAAGAUGGAGAUGAUAUCUACCUGAAACAUGAUCAAGAACUAAAUUAGUUUCCAAACAGAGUAAUUUACACAACAAUGUAUGUAUGUAUAUAAGGCAUUCAGGUUUCAUUAAUUCGCACAAUGUACAAAAAUUUAAUUCACUUCCAGUGUCUUUGGAACUACCAUGAUUCAGCGAAUGGGUCGUUAACUCUUAUAUUCAAAGUGCAUGUAAUUAAAAUAAAGAGCUUAAAAGAAUGUCUUUUUCAUCAA